GACGAACGCUGGCGGCAUGCCUAAUACAUGCAAGUCGAGCGAACAGAUGAAGUGCUUGCACUUCUGACGUUAGCGGCGAACGGGUGAGUAACACGUAAGGAAUCUACCUAUAAGCGGGGGAUAACAUUCGGAAACGGGUGCUAAUACCGCAUAAUAUCUUCUUCCGCAUGGAAGAAGAUUGAAAGACGGCUCUGCUGUCACUUAUAGAUGACCUUGCGGUGCAUUAGUUAGUUGGUGGGGUAAUGGCCUACCAAGACGAUGAUGCAUAGCCGACCUGGGAGGGUGAGCGGCCACAUUGGGACUGGGACACGGCCCAAACUCCGACGGGAGGCAGCAGUAGGGAAUCUUCCGCAAUGGGCGAAAGCCUGACGGAGCAAUGCCGCGUGAGUGAAGAAGGCCUUCGGGUCGUAAAACUCUGUUAUAAGAGAAGAACAAAUUGUAGAGUAACUGCUACAGUCUUGACGGUAUCUUAUCAGAAAGCCACGGCUAACUACGUGCCAGCCGCCGCGGUAA
rnacentral:rRNA from 1 species